rnacentral:rRNA from 1 species
AGAACGAACGCUGGCGGCAGGCUUAACACAUGCAAGUCGAGCGAGGACUUCGGUCCUAGCGGCGAACGGGUGAGUAACGCGUGGGAACGUGCCCCUUUCUCCGGAAUAGCCCAGGGAAACUUGGUUUAAUGCCGGAUACGCCCUUCGGGGGAAAGAUUUAUCGGUGAGGGAUCGGCCCGCGUUGGAUUAGGUAGUUGGUGGGGUAAUGGCCUACCAAGCCGACGAUCCAUAGCUGGUUUGAGAGGAUGAUCAGCCACACUGGGACUGAGACACGGCCCAGACUCCUACGGGAGGCAGCAGUGGGGAAUCUUGGACAAUGGGGGAAACCCUGAUCCAGCCAUGCCGCGUGAACGAUGAAGGCCUUAGGGUGUAAAGUUCUUUCAGCGGGGAAGAUAAUGACGGUACCGCAGAAGAAGCCCAGGCUAACUCCGUGCCAGCAGCCGC